UUUUAUUAUUAUUAUAUUAUUGUAUUUUAGCCCAGCGCCGUACCCACCGUGUGCGCACCACAUGGAACGUAUAUAAUAUAACAUUAAAGAAAUUCGUGUCGACAAAGCAAAUCCAUACACUUUGAAACUAAGAACAUCAUUUAACAAUACGGAUUACCAAAUAGUAAAGGUGAGGAGAGAAACAUGCAAUAGCAAUUUCAACAGUAUGGAACUUAAAAAAGCUUACGACUGUCCACCUGAAAUAAGUGCAGAGAAAAAAUCUGAUUUGCUAGAAUUGUCUGGCGUGGCAGUGCGAAUGUGCGAUCAAAUAAACUCGGUCAAAGGUCAAUGUAUAUUUAGAAAACCGUACUGCGUACACGUCGAGGGACUUCACUCGAACGCCAACACCGCACAGGAAUAUACGGACUACAGACACACAUAAAAACGCACACGCACGAAUUAUAUCUGUAUUUAAUACGAACGUAACGGUUAUGCGAAAAAACUCGUCGGAAAAAUGCGCGUAUACCGCGAUAAAUAAAUCGGCAUGGUA
rnacentral:lncRNA from 1 species